GGUGAACGCUGGCGGCAGGCUUAACACAUGCAAGUCGAACGGGUGUAGCAAUACAUCAGUGGCAGACGGGUGAGUAACACGUGGGAACCUUCCUAGGGGUACGGAACAACUCAGGGAAACUUGAGCUAAUACCGUAUACGUCCGUGAGGAGAAAGAUUUAUCGCCCUUAGACGGGCCCGCGUCGGAUUAGCUAGUUGGUGGGGUAACGGCCUACCAAGGCGACGAUCCGUAGCUGAUCUUAGAGGAUGAUCAGCCACACUGGGACUGAGACACGGCCCAGACUCCUACGGGAGGCAGCAGUGGGGAAUCUUGGACAAUGGGCGCAAGCCUGAUCCAGCCAUGCCGCGUGAGUGAAGAAGGUCUUCGGAUUGUAAAGCUCUUUUGCCAGGGACGAUAAUGACGGUACCUGGAGAAUAAGCCCCGGCAAACUUCGUGCCAGCCGCCGCGGUAA
rnacentral:rRNA from 1 species